UACUUUUGCACUCUCGCAACGAAAAUCGUAGCGAAUACAUAAAAAUUAUUUUAAUAAUAUUGGCAUG
rnacentral:ncRNA from 1 species